GCGACCCCCCGUCACGCGGGAUUACCCGCUGAGUUUAAGCAUAUCAAUAAGCGGAGGAAAGAACUACACGUCG
rnacentral:rRNA from 1 species